UUCUGAUCCUGCAGGGAAGAGUGCCAGCACCUGAUGGAGGAGGCCAGCAAAGUCCAGACAGAAAAGGAAGGAAGAGCAGACAAUGUUGGUUUUGGUGCCUGAGAUCUGAGUGCAUUCCCUGAGGAAUGGAGGUCCCUAAGGAGUUGUGAUGGGCCGGAAUGUUGACUCCAGAUGUUCCCAGCGCCCAGACUCGUUGGCACAGGGGGACCCUGAAUGAUAAUAU
rnacentral:lncRNA from 1 species